GAUGAAGAACGUAGCGAAAUGCGAUAAGUAGUGUGAAUUGCAGAAUUCAGUGAAUCAUCGAAUCUUUGAACGCACAUUGCGCCCUUUGGUAUUCCUUAGGGCAUGCCUGUUCGAGCGUCAUUUAAACCUUCAAGCUAAGCUUGGUGUUGGGUGACUGUCCGCUUCACUGCGGACUCGCCUCAAAAUUAUUGGCGGCCGGUACAUUGGCUUCGAGCGCAGCAGAAACGCGAACUCGGGCCCGUCGUAUUGGCUCCCAGAAGCUAUCUUCACAAUUUUGACCUCGGAUCAGGUAGGGAUACCCGCUGAACUUAAGCAUAUCAAUAAGCGGAGG
rnacentral:misc_RNA from 1 species